rnacentral:rRNA from 1 species
UACGGAGGGUGCAAGCGUUGUUCGGAAUCACUGGGCGUAAAGCGCGUGUAGGCGGCUUCCUAAGUCUGGUGUGAAAGCCCGGGGCUUACCCCCGGAAGUGCACUGGAAACUGGGAAGCUGGAGUACCGGAGAGGAGGGUGGAAUUCCUGGUGUAGCGGUGAAAUGCGUAGAUAUCAGGAGGAACACCGGUGGCGAAGGCGGCCCUCUGGACGGAUACUGACGCUGAGACGCGAAAGCGUGGGGAG